CAGAAAGCCAUCUGUCUUUGCGACAAAGUAGAGGGUAUAACUGAGCUGUUUAACACAAGCCGCCAGUAGAUGGCAAACUAAAAGAGCACCCUGUAAAACACGCCCACAGGGGCUCCGGCUGCAAACAUUCACCUUUAGACACUGCCGUGGGAUUGGAACCCCAUAGCCUGCCAGUCUGUAUGCUCCCCUAGAGGUCUGAGCAGCGGGGCACUGAAGAAGUGAGCCAAACCCGCAUCGCACACCCUGUGAGGGGGACAAAGGAACCUUUCCGUUCCAACAUCAAGGUUGUUUUGACCCAAGGGCAAGAUUUACAGCUGAGCCAUUUUUUGUUAGAUGCUGGACAUUGUGAACUUUACAUUGUGAAGUACUGAAUUUUUUAUUCCUAUGGAGUAUGCAACUUUAUUCUGGAAGGUAAUUAAGUGACUUUUGGAUCAACUUCAUCUUUUCAAGGUUUGAUUUUACGUGUUUUAAGAGCAUCAUAAGGGGUCCUAUUGGGGAAGAGAAGAAUCGUUGAGUUUCAGCCAAGCUUUAUCUCCUUAUUGAAUCAUAAAAAAUAAUACAGCUGGCCUGGCGCAGUGGCUUAUGCCUAUAAUCCCAGCACUUUGGGAGGCCGAAGCGGGUGGAUCACUUGAGGUCAGGAGUUUGAGACCAGCCUGGCCCACAUGGUAAAACGCUGUUUCUACUAAAAAUACAAAAAUUACCCAGGUGUGAUGGCGGGGGCCUGUAAUCCCAGCUACUUGAGGGGCUGAAGCAGGAGAAUUGCUUGAACCCAGGAGGUGGAGGUUGCAGUGAGCUGAGAUCGUGCCACUGCACUCCAGCCAGAGCAACAGAACGAGACUCCGUCUCAAAAAAUAAUAAUAAUAUAGCUCAUAAAAUCUAUGCCUGGAGAGAUUUUCGUGUUUGCUGCUGUAAAAGUGACAACAAAUAAUAUACCCAUUAUUAAUAAAUGGUUUUCAGUUAUUUAUUGAUUUAACAAACUAUUUUUUAAUGCCUACAAUGUGCCAGGCACUAUAGUAGGCACUGGACAUACAAAUAUAGA
rnacentral:lncRNA from 10 species